rnacentral:rRNA from 1 species
UACGUAGGGGGCUAGCGUUGUCCGGAAUCAUUGGGCGUAAAGCGCGUGUAGGCGGUUCGGUAAGUCCGCUGUGAAAGUCGGGGGCUCAACCCUCGGAUGCCGGUGGAUACUGUCGGACUAGAGUACGGAAGAGGCGAGUGGAAUUCCUGGUGUAGCGGUGAAAUGCGCAGAUAUCAGGAGGAACACCGAUUGCGAAGGCGCUCGCUGGGACGUUACUGACGCUGAGACGCGAAAGCGUGGGAGCAACAGG